rnacentral:rRNA from 1 species
UACAUGCAAUUCAAACGCUUUGAUUUUCACCGGAGCUUGCUCCACCGAAAAUCAAAGAGUGGCGGACGGGUGAGUAACACGUGGGCAACCUGCCCAACAGAGGGGGAUAACACUUGGAAACAGGUGCUAAUACCGCAUAAUUUGUUUUCCCGCAUGGGAGAAUAAUAAAAGACGCUUCGGUGUCACUGUUGGAUGGGCCCGCGCUGCAUUAGUUAGUUGGUGGGGUAAUGGCCUACCAAGACCGUGAUGCAUAGCCGACCUGAGAGGGUGAUCGGCCACACUGGGACUGAGACACGGCCCAGACUCCUACGGGAGGCAGCAGUAGGGAAUCUUCGGCAAUGGACGAAAGUCUGACCGAGCAACGCCGCGUGAGUGAAGAAGGUUUUCGGAUCGUAAAACUCUGUUGUUAGAGAAGAACAAGUGGGAGAGUAACUGUUCCCACCUUGACGGUAUCUAACCAGAAAGCCACGGCUAACUACGUGCCAGCAGCCGCGGUAAUACGUAGGUGGCAAGCGUUGUCCGGAUUUAUUGGGCGUAAAGCGAGCGCAGGCGGUUUCUUAAGUCUGAUGUGAAAGCCCUCGGCUCAACCGAGGAAGGUCAUUGGAAACUGGGGAACUUGAAUGCA